rnacentral:rRNA from 1 species
AAAACGGCGUCGAGCGGCGGACGGGUGAGUAAUGCCUAGGAAAUUGCCCUGAUGUGGGGGAUAACCAUUGGAAACGAUGGCUAAUACCGCAUGAUGCCUACGGGCCAAAGAGGGGGACCUUCGGGCCUCUCGCGUCAGGAUAUGCCUAGGUGGGAUUAGCUAGUUGGUGAGGUAAGGGCUCACCAAGGCGACGAUCCCUAGCUGGUCUGAGAGGAUGAUCAGCCACACUGGAACUGAGACACGGUCCAGACUCCUACGGGAGGCAGCAGUGGGGAAUAUUGCACAAUGGGCGCAAGCCUGAUGCAGCCAUGCCGCGUGUGUGAAGAAGGCCUUCGGGUUGUAAAGCACUUUCAGUCGUGAGGAAGGUGGUGUCGUUAAUAGCUGCAUUUUUUGACGUUAGCGACAGAAGAAUCACCGGCUAACUCCGUGCCAGCAGCCGCGGUAAUACGGAGGGUGCGAGCGUUAAUCGGAAUUACUGGGCGUAAAGCGCAUGCAGGUGGUUUGUUAAGUCAGAUGUGAAAGCCCGGGGCUCAACCUCGGAAUAGCAUUUGAAACUGGCAGACUAGAGUACUGUAGAGGGGGGUAGAAUUUCUCGUGUAGCGGUGAAAUGCGUAGAGAUCUGAAGGAAUACCGGUGCCGAAGGCGCCCCCCCUGCACUGAUACUGACACUCAGAUGUCAAACCGUGGGGAGCACACUCGAUUAGAUACCCUGGUAGAUCACGCCGUAUACGAUGUCUACUCCUGAUUUUCUACCUUCCUCCGCAGCUCUCUGAUCUGACACUUUAAGAAGACAGCCUGAGGAGGACCCCCGCGCUAUCAAAUCUGACAUGAAAUGACAGCGUGCCCGCACUUUACGCCCAGCAUGUCGUAUAAUGCACGCACCCCCCAGUAUUACUACGUACUGCU